rnacentral:misc_RNA from 1 species
GAAAUGCGAUAAGUAGUGUGAAUUGCAGAAUUCAGUGAAUCAUCGAAUCUUUGAACGCACAUUGCGCCCCUUGGUAUUCCAUGGGGCAUGCCUGUUCGAGCGUCAGUUGUACCCUCAAGCUUUGCUUGGUGUUGGGCGUCUUUUCCUCUUCUGGAGGACUCGCCUCAAAACAAUUGGCAGCAGGCAUAUUGGCAUCGGAGCGGAGAAAAAGUCGCACUUUGUUCCAUGAAUGUUGGCAUCCAUCAAGACCAUUUUUUCACUUAUGACCUCGGAUCAGGUAGGGAUACCCGCUGAACUUAA